UACGGGGGGGGCAAGCGUUGUUCGGAAUUACUGGGCGUAAAGGGCUCGUAGGCGGCCAACUAAGUCAGACGUGAAAUCCCAGGCUCAACCUGGGAACUGCGUCUGAUACUGGAUGGCUUGAAUCCGGGAGAGGGAUGCAGAAUUCCAGGUGUAGCGGUGAAAUGCGUAGAUAUCUGGAGGAAUACCGGUGGCGAAGGCGGCAUCCUGGACCGGCAUUGACGCUGAGGAGCGAAAGCCAGGGGAGCAAACGGG
rnacentral:rRNA from 1 species